rnacentral:lncRNA from 1 species
ACUGGGGAGGGACACCUCCCCACCACCACAUCUCUCCUGCCCACAGCAUGUUCUGGGAUCUGUGCAGGCCUCAUUACUCUGAGGUUUCCGGGCUCCAGUUUGACGGGCUGUUUCUGACCUGCAGUUUGACAUGAAUUUGCAUCUGCUCUGUGUUUGUGGCUUUGGUGUCUCAUCUUUGCAAGUGCAGUUUUAGCACAGUGUCCUCUACAGACAGUGGCUGGCUGGCAGAUUGAGUUUCUCCUCAUGGUGGCAGAAUGACUGCCAUGUCUCACACUACCUCCUCACACAUUCCUCUUUCUCAGCCCACAGGCAAAUGUUCCACAGAGUUGACAUGUUUCUUCCUCCCACCUUUGCUGUUCCUUCCUGCUGUGAGUCAGUUGGUGGACAUCGCAGGGGAGAGCUCCCGGAGAGACUGGGGUGAAGGCUGUGUGCACUGUUUCCUUGGGAAACAGGCCUUUCCUGGGACACCACCCCAGGAUAGGCCAGGACCCUGUUGUCAGUAUCCCCACGAGGAGGGUUAAGUCCGUGCUGGGCCCAUGUGCGAGCCGACCUGCCUGACUCCUGACAUUCUUAGGUAUCCUCCUUUUCUCUGGCUCAGUCUCAGCAAAGAUUUGUUUCACAUUUUAGAAUUUCCAAAAGAAUCAAAUGGGGUUUUAUUGCUUAACCACCCAGUUAAUCUAUUCAAGUGGAUUAAUGCACUUCUUAGGUUAAACCCCCAUAUUGACUUUCAUGCAUUCAUUUCUUUUUUCGAUUAUUUCUGUUAUUUCACGUAUUUCUCGUCUU